AGGAUGGCGGCAUAUCGACAAAAGAUGGUGCGGUACUAUAAUUCCCAUAUUCGGGAUAAAGAGUUCAAAGUCGGAGACUUGAUCCUACGGUGAGCCGAAGCCUCUCAGCCCACAGAGUGUGGAAAGCUGAGUCUCAACUGGGAAGGUGCCUAUCAGGUGAAUGAAGUUAUAUGGCCAGGGAUCUAUCGUCUUAAGUAGUUGGACAGGAUGCUUCUACCUCAGCCCUAGAACUCUAAUAACU
rnacentral:lncRNA from 1 species